UACGUAGGGUGCGAGCGUUAAUCGGAAUUACUGGGCGUAAAGUGUGCGCAGGCGGCCUCGCAAGUCGAGUGUGAAAUCCCCGAGCUUAACUUGGGAAUUGCGCUCGAAACUACAGGGCUAGAGUGUGGCAGAGGGGGGUGGAAUUCCACGUGUAGCGGUGAAAUGCGUAGAUAUGUGGAGGAACACCAAUGGCGAAGGCAGCCCCCUGGGCCAACACUGACGCUCAUGCACGAAAGCGUGGGGAGCAAACAGGAUUAGAUACCCUGGUAGUCCACGCCCUAAACGAUGAUGACUAGUUGUUGGAGGAGUUAAAUCCUUUAGUAACGUAGCUAACGCGAGAAGUCAUCCGCCUGGGGAGUACGGUCGCAAGAUUA
rnacentral:rRNA from 1 species